AUUAAAUAGCCGCAGUAUUUUGACUGUGCGAAGGUAGCAUAAUCAUUUGUCUUUUAAUUGAAGGCUUGUAUGAAAGGUUGGAUGAGGGGAUAACUUUCUUUAUAUUAAAAGUUGAACUUAAUUUUUAAGUUAAAAAGCUUAAAUUUUUAAAAGGGACGAGAAGACCCUAUAGAAUUUUAUAUUUUAUAUUAUAUAAUUAUUUUGGGUUGUCUUUAGUUAUAUAAUAUAAAAUAUUUUGUUGGGGUGACAGUGAGAUUUAUUUAACUCUUAUAAUUUAUGUAUUGUUGAUUUACAUUUUUAUGAUCCUGUUUUAUGGAUAAUUAGAUUAAAUUACCUUAGGGAUAACAGCGUAAUUUUUUUGGAGAGUUCAUAUCGAUAAAAGAGUUUGCGACCUCGAUGUUGGAUUAAAAUUAAUUUUAAGUGCAGAAGCUUAAU
rnacentral:rRNA from 1 species